CUCGGAGAAGACAGGUUUGCCUUUAAAGAAACUGUCACUUCCUUAUUUUUUUCUUGUUAAAGUACUGAACUUGCUGACAAUCCCAUGGAGUGGAUCUGGACACAUCCGACGUUUGCACUUCAAGCAUCUUUUCUGGAAACGAAGCCGGAAAAUCCCCUUAGCUGGAAAAUCCGAGGGUCGCAAGGAGUCAGAAGCCUAUCCCAGGGGACUUGCGUCACAAUGCAGGGGACACCUUGGAUGGAGUACCAACUCAUCACAGGGCAGAAUCGCACACUAGAUAAUUUAGAGAUACCAGUCAGCCUACAAUGCAUGUUUUUGGACUGUGGGAGGUACCGGAGUAUCUGGAGGAAAACCCAAAAGCACGGGGAGAACGUGCAAACUCCGCGCAGAGGAGGGGAGAGGCGGGAAUCCAACCUCAAACCCCAGCAGUGCAAGGCAAAUGUGCUAACCACUAAGCCACCGUGCCCCCUGAAGAUCUUGAAUCAUCAUUUCUGUUUACAUUUUUAGCAACUGGCAAAGGUUUGAUUUGAUGAAGCAUUUCAUUGUCUACUAAAGAUACCAAUAAGCCAAGUCACUGAAGAUAUAGAGAACCAGUGGAAAGAACUCAGAAGUGAAAUGAAGGGUGAACAAGUUAUGCGGCUUUAUUCUGUUCUGGAUCAACUAUAAGGACCUGAUGGUGUGCACAGGAAAGCCAGCCUGGAGCUGAAGUAGUCAAGUCUCAAGAAGACGAGGGACUGAACGAGCAACCAAGUGGCCCCCUUGGAGAGCAAAUGGUUUAAUCAGGAUUUUGAGAAGCUUCACAGCAUAAAAGUAUGCACUUCAGACAGUCUUCUAUCAGGGUAGGAUAUCUCAAAGCCAGAAGGAGAAGAACGAGUCAGUUAUUUAAUUAUUAGAACUUCAAGUAUGAGUG
ensembl:lncRNA